rnacentral:rRNA from 1 species
AAAUUGAAGAGUUUGAUCAUGGCUCAGAUUGAACGCUGGCGGCAGGCCUAACACAUGCAAGUCGAGCGGAAACGAGUUAUCUGAACCUUCGGGGAACGAUAACGGCGUCGAGCGGCGGACGGGUGAGUAAUGCCUAGGAAAUUGCCUUGAUGUGGGGGAUAACCAUUGGAAACGAUGGCUAAUACCGCAUAAUGCCUACGGGCCAAAGAGGGGGACCUUCGGGCCUCUCGCGUCAAGAUAUGCCU